rnacentral:rRNA from 1 species
UACGUAGGGUGCGAGCGUUGUCCGGAAUUAUUGGGCGUAAAGAGCUCGUAGGCGGCUUGUCGCGUCGGAUGUGAAAGCCCGGGGCUUAACUCCGGGUCUGCAGUGGGUACGGGCAGACUAGAGUGCGGUAGGGGAGACUGGAAUUCCUGGUGUAGCGGUGAAAUGCGCAGAUAUCAGGAGGAACACCGGUGGCGAAGGCGGCUCUCUGGGCCUUACCUGACGCUGAGGAGCGAAAGCGUGGGUAGCGAACAGG